AGGGCAGGGAUGGGGACCAGGGCUGGCCCACCUAUGAGGCUAGGUAAAGCAACUAUCUCAGGUGGCAGGACCCCCAGGGGCAGCAGAUCCAUGUGUUGAUCUUUCUUUCCCUCUCAUUCCCUUCUUCCCUGGCGAGGAGGGGUACCAUUUUGGGGUUUGCCUCAUGUGACAAAAUGUCUUGGAUCAGCCCUGUGGGGAACCAUCCAGAUAUUGUUGGACUCCAGCAUGCAUCAGUCUCAUCCAGCAUAACCAGUAGACAGGGAUGAUGGGAGUUUUAGCUCAGCAGCACCUGGAAGGACAUAGGUCCUCCAUCCCUGAUAAAGAAAAAGCUUACUAAGACAUGGAAAGUAAAUGUUUUGAAAUAAGAAUAAUCCUGGGUUUCAUACGCUGCAAAAUGCAAUUUAUACAAUGAAUAGCUUUUAUUACAUGAAUUCUGUGUAAGAGGAUUUGUGUAGUCAAAGAGAUUCUCUGUAUCAAUUAAUAGACUAACUUAUCAUACCUUGAAGUCACACUAUAUUCACAGCAAAGCAUACCAAGUGGUAGGCCACAUAAGGAAAUGAUUAAUAGGUCAACCAAAUUACCCAAGGAAUAUUAAAACUUUUAUUAUUGCACAGUUUAAUUAAAGCUGUUAAAUUCUUGCAAGGCUUUUAUAUUAUAAUGUUCAAAUCUUUGGCCUACAUAUUCUAGAGUAAUUCCAUUGGCCAGUAGGGACUAUACCAUGAUAAAGCAGUUUGAGGAUUGCAACCCAUAUUUUUAUUGGGUGAGCGCACAUAAAGUGAUUUGAACUAACUACUACUUCUCUGUAACUUCUUCCUAAAACUUUACAGAAUGAGGGAACACUUGAAGAUUAAUUCCUCUACUAAAGCCAAUUAGCCCAUUAAUGUGACAGUGCUGGGUCUGAGAAAUCAAUGUGAUACCCAAAUAACUUAUGUAACUUUGAUAACUGCCGUUGUAACUUAAGAACUCUGUCAGCAAAAUUGGCAACUUUAAUUACUUUGGCAUGCCCAUCCUGAGCUUAUGAGCGCAUCCUGAUUAGAACUGAUGAGCCUUGAUUAAUGGAAAGCCUAAAAGGUUAGAAAGUUGUAUUAAAGAAGUAAAGAGAAUCUUAAUUAUCUUGUAAGUUUUUCUGUGGGCCUUUUUUCUAGAUGGGGAAUGUGUAUCAGCAGUGAAAGAUAAGAGUAAAAUCUUUCUUUCCAUUCCAUUCCAUUCUUUUAGGAGCUUUAUUUAGAUAUCAGCAGUGCAUUCAAGGGAACACAUAAGAGAUUUUUACUGCUUCAAGUAUCUGGUUGCCAUGAGGCAAAUGCACUUUUAGAAUCUUAAGCUAGUAGGAGUCUGAAGGGAGAGGAAUAUAAUCCAACAAAAUUCCACUCCUUCUUCCAAGAUCCUAUAUGGCGGGGAGGGGUGUUAAUGGUUGGUUCUUGUUCUUGUUUUUAUUAUGUAUUUUUAUUUUUGUGUUGCGAACGACUCAAUCUGUGGUGCUCCAAAUUUUUAGACUAAAAUAACCAUACUCUGUGGCCAUUGACUAUGCUGCUAGGAGAUGUAGCCCCAAACAUCUGGAAGGCACCAGGAUGGGGAAGGUUGGUGUAUAUACUAAUUUCCCUAGUAGUCUAUCUUCUAAAAUACAGUGCUGUAAAUUCUGUGAAUCCUGCAAAUGCAGGCCUGUGAGUUAGACAAUUCUGACACCCUUUCAGUCAAAUAUAGUAGUGGAAAAUUUUAUGAGCAGUGCCACCCACCUGACCUCCAGUUGGUCACAUUGCUGCUCUUUACCUGGAGGUAGAGUGAGAGUGGAGAGGUGUUGCAAGGUUGACAUGGUGCCAAUGCACUGGUGGAGCCACUCUGGUGCUCCUGCUAGUGCAUUUGCCCUGCACCUUCUUUCCUGCUGCCUCUGCUUCCUGGUAAGCGACAAUGAUGUGACCAUCUGGCCUUCAGCUGAACAGCAGUGUUCCACUGUGCCAUCUACUACUAGUUAAAUGACCAAUAAAUGUUUUCAUGUAGUGAUAUGUAUUGGUGUCAAGGACAACUGUUAGUUUCUCCUUGCUUGCAUUUUGCACAAAAUUAUUUCUCAGCUCUGAGGAUAAUGUCGUGUAAUGUCAUGUAAAGGGUUAAUAAUGAAAAAGCAAUAAAUAAACCCACAGACUAAAUCCAAUGACAGAAGAAACUAGUGGGCACACAGUAUCUGGAAAGGAAGAGGACAAAAACAAGUAAAUUGCAGCCCCAAAUACCAAAAGGUCACUAUGUGCUUCUCUUUUUAUAUCUCCUCACCAGUUGUGCAAAUACAUUUAACUGGGGCCGAGGAAAGAGGGUGUGCAGCAUCAACAAGGAGAGUUGCUGGCAUCCAUCUGUCUCAAUAGACAAUGGAAUGCGCCUCUGGGGGAGAAGUCAAACCUCUCAUUAGCAACACCGAAGUGACCACUCUCGGGAGUAAGUCUUGGCAGUGUGUAGGGAGGUCCUGGGCUGUCCAGGCAACAGGACCCCCCUCUCAGCCUCACUGAUGUGGUCCGAAGGAAAGCAGAGUGAUAUGUUUGGCACCAGCUUGGCUUCAGGAAUUGCCCGAAGGAGGCAUACAAGGCGCCAUCCAACCGUCCUAGGGAUUCCACUCUAGAUCUGUGUAGGGUUUACUCCUUAGCCUUUUCUCCUCCCAAAAAUAUCCCACAAGGUAGCAACAAGGAAAGGGUACUCAGGAAUGAUCAUAGAGUUUGUCAAUACUGACCUUAGGAUGCAACCAAGGGGCUGAUAGUUAUUACAAUUGAACUGACACAGAGACCAAGAGUGUCAGCUGUUGUGCAAGUCUCUGUUUUUACCUCCAGAUAUAGAUUCUGCUGAAGGGUCAACCUAGUAAAUGUCAUUUAUUUCGGUAGGGACCAUAUAUGCAGCCAGUAACUGCAAUUCAAAAUGGCUUUUGGGCAAAGUACUUUAAAACUUACCCAUGUCUCUCUCUUAUGCAGACACAGGACUUUAUUAUCUGUGAAUGUUAAACAUGUUAAUUAAUUAAAUGGGCAUUAAUGAUUGCAAGAUUGUCUAUAAGAUGUGAUAAGAAAAUGCUUACUCUGUCAUUCUAAUAAUUCACUCCACCUGCCUUCUGUCAAGAUAAUCUUCAUUGGUAAUUAGUUAAAGGCAGAGCAAAAAUACUACAAAAUGCAGUUACAGACCUCAAUGUGUUAUAUUGCAAAGACCGGUUGAAGGUGGGUGGAAGGAUGGAUUGAUAUGUAGACAUAAUAUUAGGAUAAACUAAUAGUCUGGUGCUUCAGAAUUAAUGUAUCAGACACGAGCAGCUACACACAUUACAGAAUUCAAGGAGAAUGAGAAGAAGUAUGAGAGAGUUGCUUUAUAGGUAUAGUGUUAUAUCAACACUGGGGAGAUGUUCAACUUGCCAACUAAGUUGUUUCAUAAAAAGAGGAAGCAUAAAUCCACCUCCCACUUACUUAAGCCUGUAUGGAACACAUAAAACCAGCACUAGAGCUAUUGAUGACAUGCUGGUAUCAAAAUGGAUCUAGCAGCAACCAUCAGCAAUGCUCUGGUAUCCAUCGUCCCUGUCCUGAAAGCAGCAUUACAGUGCUAUAUAGAAGCCACUGAAUCUUACUUCUGAAUAUGGGCCAAGUAGCAGACAGAAAAUCUGAAGGAAGAUAUUGCUGUAUCUUGUUAUUGUCAUUGUUAAAUUUGAGCCCCACCCUUCAUCGUAGAUCUCAUGGCAGUUUGCAACAU